rnacentral:rRNA from 1 species
AUGAACGCUGGCGGCGUGCUUAACACAUGCAAGUCGAACGAAGCACCUCUAAUCGAAGAUUGAGAAAGCUUGCUUUGAUUGAUUCACCUUGAGGUGACUGAGUGGCGGACGGGUGAGUAACGCGUGGGUAACCUACCCUAUACAGGGGGAUAACAGUUGGAAACGACUGCUAAUACCGCAUAAGCGCACGAAGACCGCAUGGUCUAGUGUGAAAAACUCCGGUGGUAUAGGAUGGACCCGCGUCUGAUUAGCUAGUUGGUGAGGUAACGGCUCACCAAGGCGACGAUCAGUAGCCGACCUGAGAGGGUGACCGGCCACAUUGGGACUGAGACACGGCCCAAACUCCUACGGGAGGCAGCAGUGGGGAAUAUUGCACAAUGGGCGAAAGCCUGAUGCAAGCGACGCCGCGUGAACGAAGAAGUAUUUCGGUAUGUAAAGUUCUGUCAGCAGGGAAGAAAAAUGACGGUACCUGACUAAGAAGCUCCGGCUAAAUACGUGCCAGCAGCAGC